rnacentral:rRNA from 1 species
UACGAAGGGGGCUAGCGUUGUUCGGAUUUACUGGGCGUAAAGCGCGUGUAGGCGGGUCAUUAAGUUGGGGGUGAAAUCCCGGAGCUCAGCUCCGGAACUGCCUCCAAAACUGGUGACCUGGAGCGGGACAGAGGCAAGUGGAAUUCCGAGUGUAGAGGUGAAAUUCGUAGAUAUUCGGAGGAACACCAGUGGCGAAGGCGACUUGCUGGGUCCUUGCUGACGCUGAGACGCGAAAGCGUGGGGAGCAAACAGG